CCUACGGGUGGCUGCAGUGGGGAAUAUUGGACAAUGGGCGAAAGCCUGAUCCAGCCAUGCCGCGUGUGUGAAGAAGGCCUUCGGGUUGUAAAGCACUUUCAGUGGGGAAGAAAGCCUUGGGGCUAAUACCCUCGAGGAAGGACAUCACCCACAGAAGAAGCACCGGCUAACUCCGUGCCAGUAGCCGCGGUAAUACGGAGGGUGCGAGCGUUAAUCGGAAUUACUGGGCGUAAAGCGCGCGUAGGCGGUCUGAUAAGCCGGUUGUGAAAGCCCCGGGCUCAACCUGGGAACGGCAUCCGGAACUGUCAGGCUAGAGUGCAGGAGAGGAAGGUAGAAUUCCCGGUGUAGCGGUGAAAUGCGUAGAGAUCGGGAGGAAUACCAGUGGCGAAGGCGGCCUUCUGGACUGACACUGACGCUGAGGUGCGAAAGCGUGGGUAGCAAACAGGAUUAGAUACCCGUGUAGUC
rnacentral:rRNA from 1 species